GCACAUGUGGUGGAAUUGGUAGACACGCCAUCUUGAGGGGGUGGUGCUCUUACGAGCGUGGAAGUUCGAAUCUUCUCAUGUGCA
rnacentral:tRNA from 1 species